GAUGAACGCUGGCGGCGUGCCUAAUACAUGCAAGUCGAGCGAAUGGAUUAAGAGCUUGCUCUUAUGAAGUUAGCGGCGGACGGGUGAGUAACACGUGAGUAACCUGCCCUUGACUCUGGGAUAACUGCGGGAAACUGUAGUUAAUACCGGAUACGACCCUCGGCGGCAUCGCCAGGGGGUGGAAAGAAUUUCGGUCAAGGAUGGACUCGCGGCCUAUCAGCUAGUUGGUGAGGUAACGGCUCACCAAGGCGACGACGGGUAGCCGGCCGAAGAGGGUGACCGGCCACCCUGGGACUGAGACACGGCCCAGACUCCUACGGGAGGCAGCAGUGGGGAAUAUUGCACAAUGGGCGCAAGCCUGAUGCAGCAACGCCGCGUGAGGGAUGACGGCCUUCGGGUUGUAAACCUCUUUUAGUAGGGAAGAAGCGAAAGUGACGGUACCUGCAGAAAAAGCACCGGCUAACUACGUGCCAGCAGCCGCCGUAA
rnacentral:rRNA from 1 species